rnacentral:rRNA from 1 species
GAUGAACGCUGGCGGCGUGCCUAAUACAUGCAAGUCGAGCGAACGGACGAGAAGCUUGCUUCUCUGAUGUUAGCGGCGGACGGGUGAGUAACACGUGGAUAACCUACCUAUAAGACUGGGAUAACUUCGGGAAACCGGAGCUAAUACCGGAUGAUAUUUUGAACCGCAUGGUUCAAAAGUGAAAGACGGUCUUGCUGUCACUUAUAGAUGGAUCCGCGCUGCAUUAGCUAGUUGGUAAGGUAACGGCUUACCAAGGCAACGAUGCAUAGCCGACCUGAGAGGGUGAUCGGCCACACUAGAACUGAGACACGGUCCCAACUACUACGGGAGGCAGCAGUAUGGAAGCUUCCGCAAUGGGCGCAAGCCUGACCGAGCAACGCCGCGUGAGUGAUGAAGGUCUUCGGUUCGGAAAACCCUGUUAUUAGGGAAGAACAUAUGUGUAAGUAACUGUGCACAUCUUGACGGUACCUAAUCAGAAAGCCACGGCUAACUACGUG